rnacentral:rRNA from 1 species
UACGGGGGGCUAGCGUUGCUCGGAAUCACUGGGCGUAAAGGGUGCGUAGGCGGGGCUUUAAGUCAGGGGUGAAAUCCUGGAGCUCAACUCCAGAACUGCCUUUGAUACUGAGGAUCUUGAGUUCGGGAGAGGUGAGUGGAACUGCGAGUGUAGAGGUGAAAUUCGUAGAUAUUCGCAAGAACACCAGUGGCGAAGGCGGCUCACUGGCCCGAUACUGACGCUGAGGCACGAAAGCGUGGGGAGCAAACAGG